rnacentral:rRNA from 1 species
AGUAGUGAGACUUCGGACUGGUACCCGGCGUCCGUUUCGGCGGACGAACAGGAGGGCCGGAAAGACGGUCGAACUUGAUCAUUUAGAGGAAGUAAAAGUCGUAACAAGGUUUCCGUAGGUGAACCUGCGGAAGGAUCAU